CGCCCCAAAGAUGGACUUUUUAAUUUUGUAUAAAAUAUAUCUUUGUAUAUAUUAUAUACAAUAACUGUAUAAUAUAUACAAAGAUAAAUGAAUAACAACAUUCAAAGGAACUUGAUCCUAACAGAGGCUAACACUGGCACACUCCAAUUCAUUUAUAGGGCCAGGCCUCCAGCAACCUGUAAACGUGUACCAACAAAACCUUCCCUUCCUCCUCCUUUUUUAAAAAAGAUUUUAUUUAUUUAUUUGACAGAGAGAGACACAGUGAGAGAGGAAACACAAGCAGAGGGAGUUGGAUAGGGAGAAGCAGGCUUCCUGCGGAGCAGGGAGUCCAACACAGAAGUCGAUUCCAGGACCGCUGAAUCAUGACCUGAGCCUGAAGGCAGAUGCUUAACAACUGAGCCACCCAGGCACCCUCCCUUCCCCCUUUUGAGUAUCUCUGUGAAACACUUGGCUCUUCCAAGAUGACAUAGCAUUCUCUUGACAAGGCCCUCUCCCGCACAUCUUAAGAACAUUUAAACACAGAUUCUGGGGUACCUGCAUGGCUCAGUCAGUUAAGCAUCUGCCUUCAUCUCAGGUCAUGAUCCCAGGACCCUGGGAUUGAGGCCCACAUGAGGCUCUCUGCUUAGCAGGGAGCCUGCUUCUCCCCCUCAGUUGCUCCCCCUGCUUGUGCAUGCACACUCUGUCAAAUAAAUAAAAUCUUAAAAAAAAUAAUAAAACAUAGAUUCUAAGGGGGAGAAAAGGAAGAGAAAACAAUGACCAUAUAAUGGCAUUCCUAGAAAGUGCUUGUUAAAGGGUAGGAAUGAUAUUUUCUUCAGUUUCUUCCAACAUCCGUUUUCUUUUCAAACUUCCCAUAAUAAGCAUCCAUACCCAUGCAAUUUAGGAAAUAAAGGAAAAACAUUUCAACUAAUCAAAACAAAUAUCUUUAAAGUUUGCAUUAAGCAAAUUGAAAUCUUUACUUAUAUAUGUUUUUAAUGAGGAUUAGAGUACAAUGUUUUUUAGAUCAUUUCAUUUAGAUAAGUAUGAAUGGUGUACCAUUUAUAAGUACAUAGACUCACAUCUACAUUGUCCAUUCUGUAGCAUAGGCAGCCCUUAGUGUGAAGUUCUACUUUUAGUCUGAGGUACCUUUUCCUUCCUAUUCUCUGGCUAUGGUAGACAGAUUGUUUUCCCCUCUGUGGUCCUUGUGCCCUGGUGUUAUUCCUGUAAACCUGUGACUUAACAAAUGGGACUUUACAGAUGAAAUUAAGGUUGCUAGCCAGUUGACCUUAAAACCGAAAGAUGAUCUGGGUGAGCCCAAUUUAAUCACAGGGGCCCUUCAAAUCCCAAGAGUAAAGCAGAAGAGUCAGCUCCCCAGUCAGAGAAAUAUAGUGACAGAAGAGACGGGAGAGAUUCAAAACAUGAGUCCCCUUUGCUGACCUUAAGGAUGAAGGAGCCACAGGCCUGAGAACGAUAGUGCCCUCUAGAAGCUGCAAAUGAGCCCUAGCCAACAGCCACAGAAGAAAUGGGACUUCUAUCCCACAGCAGUGUGGAACUAAAUUCUGCCCAUAACCUGAAAGAGCCUUGAAACAGACUACUUCCCAGAGCCCAACCCUACCAGUGCUUUGGUUUUCAAGCCUUGUGUGACCUGAAGAAACAACACUGAAGCUCUGACUUACAGAACUGUAAGAUAACAAAUUUGUGUUAAGUCACUAAGUUUUUGUAAUUUGUUAUAGCAUCAAUAGAAAAUAUAACAGCUGAAGAUAGAAACUACAAUGUAUGACAAAAGUGAAUUCUUCAAGGAAACCUAGGCAAUAUUUUUCUACAAAAGCUUUCUCUGUAACUAUUAACUGACAUGUAGAAUAUUAGCUUAAUGACUCAGCAGAAACAAAAAUAGCUUUCACAUUAACCAGAGACUUUAAUUUGAUUUUGUGAAAAAAGCUUAUAAGCAAUCAAGCUGCUUUUCUCUUUUGUGUUUGUUACUUAUAAGUACGCACAGUGCAAAUAUUAAUCAGGGAGAACCUGUAACUAUGAAAUGCUAUGUUGUUCAAGAUGACAUCUUUACCAUGUGGUUACUGGAAGACAGAGCCUUCCCACUGAUCAUUUAACACCCACAAAAAAUACAUAACAAACAAAACUGAAAUUUGAAUCUAUGGUUAUUAAAACACAAAAGCAUUUGAAGUCGGGGCUUUUUUCCUUUUUCCUGAAAUAAAUUAUAAAGAGUGAUCCCAAUUUCAAAGGUUUAAAAAAAGAUUUUAAUAGAUAUAUAUCAAGUGCUUCAACAGGUGACUCAGCCUAUGGAGUAUUUUUUCUUUUUCAAAAAUAGGCUAAGGAAGAAUGAACAUAGGAUAUUCUUGAAAAUGUUUUGACUAAUAUCCAAUCUUGCAUUUUCUUAUGAUUGUCAUGGUCAUAACCUAAUGGCUAUCCACUUUCAGUUUUAUUUGUUGCACUCAAAAUUCACUGUAUGAUAUUUAAGCAUACAUGACAAAGAACACAGGCAUUCUUCUUAAAACAAUAUUUAGAUUACUCUGCUUAGAGUUCACAGUUCUCUAACAAUUUUACAUUAAACACGCAAAACAUUGUACAACCAGAGAGAUUUGUGAACAGUCUUGAGAGAAAGCUGUAUUUUGGUACAUUAAGGCAGCUUCAGCCAACAACUUAAGAAGUUCUGAAUAUUUGUUGCCACAAAAGACAAGUUCAAAAUUUGAAUAUUUGAUGUUUUCAAGAAAUUUUAAGUCACUUAAAAUAAGAAUACCAUAAUUCGUGAAACUGUGGUCUUAAACAUUUUUACCACUAUAUUCUUACCACAUUAGACUUCUAAAAUCAAGAUAGUCAUCCUAUCAGUAUCAAAGAUUUCUAUUAAAAAGAAGAAAGGAAGGGAUUUACCUUAAAUAUGAUGAUAAACCCUGUAUUUAAGUAAGGGCCCUCAGUUUCUCACAAACGUCUGUGAGGUAGGUUAUUGUCCACAUUUUGUAGAUGAGAAAAUCCAACCAAACUGAGAAUCACAUUCCAAAUUAAUUUUUGUUCUUUGCUCUGCAUUAUUUCUUGCCUUUACAAACAUUUUAAAGGGUUGAACUGUAAAGAUUCUUAAUCACUGCAUUCAUUUUAAAAACAUGAGAAAGCAGCCAAAGUUUCACCAAAAUGACUUAAGAAGUGAAACAACAUAAAGGCAACAGAAAAGUACAUCCAGUGAACAGCUUCUGACAGUGAUAGGGUGAGGUAUAGGCAAAGGAGCCUGAAAACCAAACAGGCAAAAGCAAACAAUGUAACCAUCUGUGGAGGGCAGAACUGAGGGAAAACAAGAGCAAUUAGAAAAAACAACUUCAGACAAAUUUUUGACUAAUUAUUACUAUUCCUAUAAUUUGAGAAGGCACAAUUAAGGUGUUUUGUUUAGAGCAAUUAAUCUAUUUUUUUUUCCAUUCAGGAAAAUAUUAUCCAUCUAGAAGAAUGGCCUUUCUUUGUAACAAAAUUAACUUAAAAGGGAUUUUUAGCUGUGAGAAAUAAACUCUUAUAAGCAGCAAAAAAUUAACUAUGUAAUUCUCUGGGGCUAGACCAUUCCUGUGCCUCCUUGAAAUUUUAAAUCAACACAAAGCAGCUAACCUUGCAAAAUCACACAGAUAAACCUUGUCAAAAUUCUGUGUAUGUUCAGAAAAGUUUUCAUGCUAAGAUACUCUACAAAUACUUCAGCUUUUUUUCCUGAAAAGAACACACUACUCUGGGGUUUCCUUAAUUGCACUUUAAAUGUAACUGAAAUUUACCUAUCUUGCUUGUCCAAAUAACCAUGAGCUACCUCCGCAAAACCUAAACUGCUUUGGAUAUAAACAGUAGUUACCCGAAAUCCCAUCACAGUCAUGGCUGCAAAUGGCACUGCUCUGCAAGUAGAGCAGUAAACGCGAACACUGGCUCACUACUCUAAUACCGCUAAUACCGGCCCACAGUCUGGUAACUUCUAGACCCAGGCUGACUCUUAAUCAGGUUCUGGCUGAAAAAGUUUAAUUAAAACUCAGUCCAGUCUCACUGUGAGUCAGGUUCUUUAUGCUCUUACUGUUUACUUUAUGCUAUUACUGUUCAGUGGCAUCAAAUCCAUCAAGAUUAUAUGUGGAAAGGCUAGUAAGGAAGCCAGGAAUUUGUUCAAGUAACGUAUCAUUUUUUUAAAGCUCCUCAAACAAAUGACAUUUCAAAGUUCUGUAAGAUCUGGGAGAAUAUCAAGCUAAUAAUAAUUAGGUAGCUUGUGAACAGAGAUAUACUCUAUGAAAACAGUGUUUAUCAUCUAAAUACCCAUACAAAAUGAAAAAGUAUCAAUCUGUACAUGAAAUUUAGAUAAACCUAAUUCAGAUAACAGUCAAAAACUAUUAUAAUUUAAGAUAGGGGCUGCAGCUACUUUUACUUUUUAUAAAAGACUGUGCUACAAGGAUCAAGUAAAUAAAAUUAAAGGAAGAAUCAUGCUUAAAACACCUUCAGUAUUUUAUAAGCACCCUCAAUAAUUCAAAAGUACUUAUAAAUAUCAAUAUACUAAUCAUAAAUAAUUUUAGUUAGUAUAAUCAACCAGUUCCAAUAAUUAAGAAAUAUUCAGUUAGGACUACUUUAUGUCACUCAAAGAAUUGAAAGCAAUACAUCUGGGUUUUAUCUUUAUUACUCAACUACUCAGAUGUUUCAGUGAUUCAGACUGUUCUCCCCUUGAGGAAGGUGGGACAGAAAGAGCAGUGGUCAUUGCUGAAUACUUGUAUGGCAUUAAAGCUUUAUGAAGAGCUUUGUGGUCCUGCUUCUUCAACUAGAAAAUGGUUAUACCUCACAAGAUUACUGUAGUGUAUUAACUAUGUUAAUAGACAUGGUCUCUGGAUCUAAAAACCACUAUAAAAAAGUAUGGAACACUUCUAAUACUUCAAAUUAGUAAUAUUUUGCUUAUGCCAAGUGCACAUGAUGUUUUAACGUGUUCAGUUUUCUAGAUGACUUUUGCCAUUUGUAUUCUAGAGGACAGCUGUAUUUAAAUUUUUUUUUCAAGUAUAAACCUUUAAAAUGCCUCACCAAACAAAUACAGAACAUUGACACUAGUAUAAAAUCUCUAAAUAUAUAAAAAGUGAACACUAACACAAUCACACAAAAAAGGAAAAGACAUAACUUUAAAGCUCAAAUGUACCUUGGAGGCCUUUUAGCCUAUCCUCCUACUUUAGUGGUUACAAACCGAGGUCCAACAUAGGUGUGAUUUACUAACAGAUUGCACAUAUCCCUCAUCCAGAAUUUCCAAUAGAGCCUCUGAGAACGAUUAUUAAAAUAAAUUACCUUCCCUAUUUAAAAAGUCACAGAAUGACAGAAUGACCAGGUAAAGAUAUGCCAGACUGAAAAGAUGGAGUUCUUUAAAAACAAAAACAGACAAAACCAUGAACAUGGUUUGCAUUUAGAUAUUGAGAUUUCACAGCCAUCAACAGGAUUUAAAUUAUUAACCAGUGGCAGACAAAGAUACCGUGUCUGUGGGAAGCAUAUUCUAAGCUUUUCUAUUUUAUAAGUGGAAGGUACAGUACUUAUAUUAACUCAGUAUACUGCACAUUAAUAGAAACUACAGAUAAAUUCAAACAGUCAGAAAACCUGUAACAGUUGUCUAUGAUUAUUUUCUUAAUUAUGUCUCUUCCAAUUAAAAAAAAAAAAAAAGUUUAUGUUCCCUGAGUACAAACUGGCUAGAGAAUAAGAAAAAGCAACAAUUAUGCAACUCUCAUGGGAACCCUAUUUGCAGAAAAUGGAGAAUUGUCUGUAAAACAUACAGCCAAUUAUCUGACAGAGAAAUACUGGUACUUCCAAUUAAUUUAGGCUCCUAGAUUCUUGUUAUAGCAGACUAAUACCAAGGAACAAAAUACUUGAGGUUACAAAAGUGUGCCAAAAGUUUGUUGAUCAAAACAAAAUCCAACUUGAAAUAGGUUUGCCUACCUCCCCAAUUUAUCUGUUCCUACGUUACAGAUUACAGGAAUUAGAUCUAAAUAUGGUGUCCUGUAUUUAGAAAAUGUUCAUGGACUAUACAGUUUGAAAGUGAGAAUCAAUGUCAUAGACUCAUUGCCUACAAAGCCAUAGAGCCAUAAUAAGCAUUAGUCACUAGUUUUCUUAGGCCUUUUUUUUUUUUUUUUACACAAAUAAUCUGCUUUAAGUUUUCUCAGCUAUCCAUUCAACACAACAAAUAAUAAAUUUUGCUCCCAAACAAUACCACAAUCUGAUUAAGAAAAUCAAGGUGCUAUGAAACACAUCACAGACAUACAAAAUUUUGUUUAGGCCAGCAUUUGCUCAAAUGAGGAUGUCCACAGGUUAAAAUGAAAUUUUUCUGAUUCUGAGAACCAUAUUCUCUCCAGCAACUGGUAAGAAGAAAAGAUACCUUAAUUCUAUUAUUUCCUAUGUUAAUUAUCAUUAUAUAAUUACAUAUAUUAUUAUAUAUAUAUGUAAUAUACAUAUUACAUAUAUAUUAUAAUUAACUAAUUAUAGCAACCUGGAACAAUAAGUUUCCUAAAAUAGUAUUUUCCAAAUUUGCCUUUUCCCAUGGAAUAUUAAGAUUAAAAGUAGUUAAAUUAAUUUGGGGAAAGCAGGGUUAAAGUUUUCUUUUUUUCACUGAAGGACUUUUCAAAGUCUUUAAUUCUCAUAUCCACUCCAUCCUCAAGCAAGUGUGGCGUAUAACACUUUCCAAACUUGCUCAAUGGACUCGUUUUUCAGCACAGCACCUCAGGGAUACAGUGUGGGAAAUGCUAUUGUAGAACCAUAUGGAGUUCAUUUCCAUGAUGUAGCUAAUUCUUUAUAACCUAAUAAUAGAAGCUCUCCUCCAAAAUCUUAACUUGAAGAAAUUCUUCCCACCGCAGAUCUAACAACCACAUACCACACCCCUGAUUAACCGGGUUACAAGAUUGAAAUGUGGGAAUUUAGCAACUGAUUCUUUCCCUUUUCCUGCCCAUUAGCAACAAAAGCCUCCUAUGACAUUGUUCCGGCCCCUAUUAUGCCGUACUGAGCCUCCUGAAAUCUCCUCAAUAUAAAGCAAUUUACUGUACCUUCUAGAUUCAGAGUAGCUGUGCUUUAAAAAUGUAAGCAUAAGAGAACUGAAACUGCAACCCUGGUUCUCCUAAAAUUCAACAGAUAACCAUCAAAAUGUAGAUAUUCACAAAUACUGGCAAGAAUGAGAAAAUAGUAUAUAAUAUUUUUAAUUCUCAAUAAACAUGAUAAUCACCAAUAUAAAGUAUUUGUAUAUGAAUAAGUUCUUAAUAUCUGAUUUAUUCGACUAACAAAGCUAAAAUGCCACUAUAUUCCUUGCUGUUUUUCCACCUUCAAAAUUGUUAGGGAUUUUGUCAUUAGGGAUAAGGAAUCAUCAGAAUUCCUAUUUCUAAGAUCAAUCACAGUCAAGCAAAUCGUAUGAGGUGGACCUGUUCUUCCCAAAAGAGGUAUUUACACAUUUGAAGACGUUAAAAUUAUGCCCUAUCUAUAACGCACAGCCGGACGCUUAUCCCUCUAAAAACAAUCACAAAAAGUACCCUUUGAUGCCACUAGAUGGCAAUCUUUCAAAGGUUUAAACUUAAAAAGAGUUCAAUGCAAACCCACCCUUUUUCCCAAAUUGGCGAGCAAAGAUUCCUUUAGAUAUUAUGAAGUCAGACUUAAAAGUUACUUAACAC